AAUUAAGGAUGGAAAGAAAGAAGAUGAAAGACAUAAAGAUUGAGGGAAAAUGGUGAGCAGAGCUUUGCUUGUUGACGUCAUAUGUUGCUUACUUGUGUUUUUGCUGCUCCACCUCCAUUUCACCUCUGUAACUGCAAGGUCCAUCACUCCUCAAGGAUGUGCUGGUGGUGUGGGUGGAAGCAGCCCAAUACAUUCCCCAGGAUGUCGUCAUGGUUGAUGAUGGACGCCGUGUGCUGUUCCAGCGCCAAAGGUUCCGCCGUGAGCAUAUUUGAUCCUUGAGGGCAUUACAUACUAAGACCAUUUUCCUUAAGCAAUAAAAUGUGGAGAGAUGGAGAAACAGUGGUGUGUUUUUUGGUGGAAAGCUCCUGAUUACCCCUAGCAUGAGUCAUUUUGGAAUCAUCUGUAUCUUCCUCCAUAAGGACUAAGGAAGUCAUGUUUUGUUCUUAUUAAUGUUGUCAUAGUCCAUAGACAUGGUAGUUACUCUCGAUCCCUUUGGUGUUGUUUCUAUUAUGAGAAUAUUGAUGUUCCGUAAACUUUUGUGGGAUUAUUGUCUAUUCAUUUUAAGCUUAGCUUAUUAGCAUUCCUCUUCAUGCAUAUUUUGGUGUGAUGUUAGAGCACGGGAAGUAGAUAUAAAUGAGAAGACAGAAAGAUAUUUGCUCAAAAUAAUUUACUUUAAUACCGUGUAAAGAUGGUAAGACCAUUAUCCAUUCAUCUAAAAUUUAACUUAGAAGCCUUCACAUGCAAAAGAAAUUGCGACUUUUGAUAGAGAAUAAGCAUGUGACGAUAAUGUCUUGCCACAAGACAGAAUAAAGAUAGUCUAUUCACAAUAUAGUUGGUUGUGAAACAUCACAAGCAAAUGCAUCUCAACAUGCGCUGAGGGGAAAAUUUCCAGUACAAUAGUAUGCAUUGUUACGCGGAAAAGCAAGCCAAUUAUUGUUCACGAAAAUGAAUUUCUACAAAAGGAAAUAACUAGAAAAAAUCCUCUUGAAUUUUAAAACCCUGAGCUCUAUUCUGUGAUGCAUCUGCAACUAUGCAACUAUUGCACAAGAUAGUUUCUUGUGGGCAUUCUUCAAAAGACCGGGUUAUAAUGCCACUAGCUUAGGUACUUCUUCCUCACAACUAAGUAAAGAGGGUGCACCAGUAGGUUCUAAUGGCCACUUCGGAGGUAUUAGUGACGUUUCUUAAGCAGUCUCAGACGAUGGUGUUGCUAUAAUAUGUUAUUAUCAGUUAGCUGGUAAUUUUCAGAAAGUUGAAUCGCCGUAUGUAUCUUGACGGUAUGUGCAUCCCCCUCUUAAAAACCCCCGAUGAAUCGUAAUGAAUAACAAUCAUAUCCUCUCAUCUACCAUAAUGUGAUGUUUAUCUACGAUUGACGUCUUCGCUUAGCAUUGUAGAUGAAUGUCCAUAAUUUGAAUG